GCAUUAAGUUUGAUCAUGGCUCAGACCGAGCGCGUAACGGCAGGCCUAACACAUGCAAGUCGAACGGUAACAGGAAGCAGCUUGCUGCUUUGCUGACGAGUGGCGGACGGGUGAGUAAUGUCUGGGAAACUGCCUGAUGGAGGGGGAUAACUACUGGAAACGGUAGCUAAUACCGCAUAACGUCGCAAGACCAAAGAGGGGGACCUUCGGGCCUCUUGCCAUCGGAUGUGCCCAGAUGGGAUUAGCUAGUAGGUGGGGUAACGGCUCACCUAGGCGACGAUCCCUAGCUGGUCUGAGAGGAUGACCAGCCACACUGGAACUGAGACACGGUCCAGACUCCUACGGGAGGCAGCAGUGGGGAAUAUUGCACAAUGGGCGCAAGCCUGAUGCAGCCAUGCCGCGUGUAUGAAGAAGGCCUUCGGGUUGUAAAGUACUUUCAGCGGGGAGGGAGGUGUUGAGGUUAAUAACCUCAGCAAUUGACGUUACCCGCAGAAGAAGCACUGGCUAACUCCGUGCCAGCAGCCGCGGUAAUACGGAGGGUGCAAGCGUUAAUCGGAAUUACUGGGCGUAAGCGCACGCAGGCGGUCUGUCAAGUCGGAUGUGAAUCCCGGGCUCACUGGGGACUGCUUCCGAAAACUUGGGCCAGGGCUAGAAGGUCCUUGUUGNACGGGGGGGGNUNGCACAUUCCCA
rnacentral:rRNA from 1 species